UACGAAGGGUGCAAGCGUUACUCGGAAUUACUGGGCGUAAAGCGUGCGUAGGUGGUUGUUUAAGUCUGUCGUGAAAAGCCCUGGGCUCAACCUGGGAAUUGCGAUGGAUACUGGGGCGAUAGAGUGUGGUAGAGGACAGUGGAAUUUUCCGGUGUAGCAGUGAAAAUGCGUAGAGAUCGGAAGGAACAUCUGUGGCGAAGGCGACUGUCUGGGCCAACACUGACACUGAGGCACGAAAGCGUGGGGGAGCAAACAGG
rnacentral:rRNA from 1 species